GACAGUACAGAUACGGCAACAAACGAGAAUACCCAAUCUUCUGCUAUCACCUCACAGAUUGAAAAAGUUGAGCUCAAACAGAUCUCAGCCCAAACUACAAAUGAAUCUGCGAACACAGCCAACAGUCCGAAUGAGAAAUCUGCGGAGGGUGAGAAGCGAAAGCUAAAAUUGGGCAACAAAAAUGACAUUUUAUCUGCACUUAAAACUCUGGUCAAAUCCAAAAGGGACAAAAGUGAUCAUGAGGGUAAAGAUAGUCCACCAAAAAGAAAAAACGAACUUGGGAAUGAUUCGGCGUCUAAAAAGUUUAAAUCGGAUGCCCAAACGGAGGAGGUCGGAGCAGCGUCAGUUGAAUCAAGUUCCACGAGUGAAGGGAACAAAGUGGAAACGACAGACUCUGCACCUGCUGCUAAUAAUGCAAAUGAAACACAAAAAGAGAGAGACAAAGUUGUUAAAAUUAGACGGAAAAAUAAAGUGGAUCUCAAAAUGAAAUCCGCUUUGACAAACAAGAAAGUUUUGAAAAGGCAAACCAAACUUAAGAAGACGCCUCAAAAUGCUAUAAAACAUGAUAAACCCUCUAAGAAAAUUAAAAGGGACAAGUCCAAAUCUGAAACUAAAACUGUCAAACCAAAAUCAGUAUCUCGUAAAGUUUUGUCGAAAACACUUUCGAGCUCGAAUGAAAUCAACGGUGAACUUGUGCCUCCCGAAGGAAACUGCGAAGCAAGUAAUAAGCAAGAUGGCAGUGAUACGAAUGUGAAUACAAACACGUAUACUGAUAAAGUUGAACCAAUAACCCCAAAGAAAGUGCAAGACGAGACCUGCUUAAAAGACCACCAUGUAUUUGACUUUGUACCGGUGGAGGAAGAGAGCCCAUUGGCGACGUUUGAAAAAGCUCUGAGCGAAUACAAGAAGAAACCGUACAUGCGUCUUCCAGCCACCGCUUACUUGGAGGAGAGGUUCACCGUUAUGCCCAAGCGGCGAAAAGAUAUGUCCAUGUUCUUUGGAUCGUCGCAGAAAGUCCCCAAGACGCCCGAGGCCACAGCACAGGCCUCCCAGCAACGACAGCGAUGUGCCAACUGCUUCACCACGUUCAGCAGCGACCAGGAGCUGCAGUGGCAUCUCCAGCAGAAGUGCGCCAACCUCUUUGGGUUCGACUCUGAUGACGAGGGCACCAGUUGAAUGUCUUCUGAAAUCUGGAUCCAAAGGAACUUCCUCUUUGCAUGGCGGAUUUAGCCUUCCGGACUGAACUCUUCCUUGGGAUAAUGUUGGUAACUGUGUCUUUAAACUGAAAAAGGCAGAAGAGACUGCUAAAGUUUGAAUUUUCUGCUGCAGUUUUUGAUUUGCAGCCUGAGACAAUAAUGAGCCGCUCUGUGAGAGACUACUGAACAGUGCUGAAGUGCCUGCUCUGGACGUGUGUCUAGCAGCUUCACAGGGAUUCUUCAUGAAGUGUUGUGGCUUUAAAUUGGACUAAAGCUGUGAAACUAGACUCAGACUGCUCCUCGAUCACUGGGAUUUCUAUUUUUGCAUCUAUUUUAAGGACAAAGACGACCUCUGCUUUUCUUCACUCUCAUAUUGUUUUAUUGUGGCUGGCAGACAGGGCUGUGGAGGAGGGGGCCUG
ensembl:lncRNA